rnacentral:tRNA from 1 species
CUCCGCUUGGUGUAGUUGGUUUAUCACGUUCGGCUGUAAUGUUAAAUUGUUACCGAAAGGUCCCUAGUUCGAUUCUGGGAGCGGAGA